UGUGUGUGUGUUCCAAUGGCUCCUUGCAGUUGUAAACAUUCCCGACUGGAAGUUGUAAUGCAGAAAAUCUCAGCUUUCAGUCUGAUGUUUGCUGCUACUGGUGGCCUCCAGCAACUGUCUGUCUG
rnacentral:precursor_RNA from 8 species